GGUGUGCAUUUGUCACACAAAACUGCUGGAAUGCUCUCUACAGUAUUUGACAUUGAAGGAGUCUUCGGAGGAAUUUCAGCUGGAUAUAUAUCUGAUAUGAUUAUGAUUGAGGCUCGUGCAGUUACUUCAAUUGUAUUCUUGCUGCUAUCAAUUCCAGCCUUUAUUUUGUACCGGGUUUAUGGGAGCCUGUCUAUGAUAAUGAACGUUGCGUUGAUGCUUCUUUCUGGUUUUCUUGUGAAUGGCCCUUACUUAUUAAUCACUACGGCUGUAGCAGCUGAUCUUGGUACACAGG
rnacentral:misc_RNA from 1 species